CGCCAGAGGGCGCUGUCCGGCCCCCGCCGGGACCCCGCCGAGCGGCAGAAUGACUUGGGAUAUAAAUAAACUAAAUAUAUCCUAUUUGAAUAACAAGUGGAAGACAGCUUGAUGAAUUGGACAAGGAAGCCCUUGGAACAGGAUGUAAAAGCAGCACUUUCCAUCCAGCCUGACAUCCUGCUUCCAGAUGCAGAAGGCUGAGCAGGCCACCAGGAUCACAUUUAAGUGGCUGUGGCCAUGAUGUUCCAAUUUGAAACCUGGACUCCACUAACUUCCAUACUCAUCCUUUGCUCUCAGCCCUCUCCCUCCCCUCUCUAGGUCCUCAGGAUGAUCUGAAAUAUAUAUUACACUUUUCUUCCUCACUAAAUGUCAACAUGUUGGAAAGCAGGGACCUUGAUAUAUUAAUCCUUAGGGCCUUGGGUUCUGCUGUAGUUAAGACGCAACAAAUGUUGGGUAAAAUGAAUUUUAAAAACAACUUGUUGCCGGGCAUGGUGGCUCAUGCCUGUAAUCCCAGCACUUUGGGAGGCCGAGGCGGGUGG